ACGGCAGCAGGCGCGGAACUUGCCCAAUGCGCGGCGCGCGAGGCAGCGACGGGGUGCGCGCGAGCGAGGCGGGCCCACAGCCCCCGCCGCGGAGCCGAGGGCAAGGUCUGGUGCCAGCAGCCGCGGUAAUUCCAGCUCGGCGAGCGUCGCGCGGCGCUGCUGCAGUUGAAACGCCCGUAGUUGGCCCCCCGCCGCCACGAGGAAACGGGAGCGCUCCAGGCAGGCCCGUUGGACCCGCCGCGUGGGACCGCGCAGCGGGCGCGGCGCGCCGCGGCAGCCCCGAGGAGAGCGGGCGGGGGCACCGGUACCGGCCGGGGACGGGUGAAACAGGAUGAUCCCGCCGAGACCGCCGGCCGCGCAGGCGCCUGCCAAGACCGCCUCUGUCAAUCAAGGGCGAAGGCCGGGGGCUAGAAGGCGAUCAGACACCACCGUAUUCCCGGCCGUAAACGGUGCCGCCCCGCGGCCGGCGCGCGCGUCCCGCCGGCCGCCCUGGGUAACCGGGAGGCUCCGGGCUCUGGGGGGAGAAUGGCCGCAAGGCUGAA
rnacentral:rRNA from 1 species